UAUAAUGCAAUGAAGGGAAGAGUAUUCUGAUCCCCUGUUUCACAGAGAGCUUCCGUACGCUGAAAGGAAGUAAACAGUUUUCAGAGGAAGUACAUCCCGGAGCAGUCACCUGAAAUCUUUCAGUAGGGAUGACACGGUGCGCCGUAUACAGCGCCUCAGAGAGCAGGACAUACCUGCUGAAUGGAAGUGGUACCGCGGUUUUCGCCUUCCGG
rnacentral:ncRNA from 1 species